rnacentral:rRNA from 1 species
CCUACGGGUGGCAGCAGUGAGGAAUAUUGGUCAAUGGCCGGAAGGCUGAACCAGCCAUGCCGCGUGAAGGUCAGUGCCCUAUGGGCGUUAAACUUCUUUUGUGCGGGAGCAAUAAUGGUCACGUGUGGCCAGACGAGAGUACCGUACGAAUAAGCAUCGGCUAACUCCGUGCAAGCAGCCGCGGUAAUACGGGGGAUGCAAGCGUUACACGGAUUUAUUGGGUUUAAAGGGGGCGUAGGCUGUGAGGUAAGUCAGCGGUGAAAUGCCCCCGCUCAACGGGGUGAAGUGCCAUUGAAACUGCCUUGCUGGAAUGCGGAUGCCGUGGGAGGAAUGUGUGGUGUAGCGGUGAAAUGCAUAGAUAUCACACAGAACACCGAUUGCGAAGGCAUCUCACGAAUCCGCGAUUGACGCUGAUGCACGAAAGCGUGGGUAUCAAACUGGAUUAGAUACCCUGGUAGUC